rnacentral:lncRNA from 1 species
UCGACAAUCAGCUUCAAUUCCUAGCUAGCCCAUUAUUCCCUGAAGCCAUUCAUUAGCCAAAUUCUCUACCAAAUCUCUUUACCAAGCAAGCCACUAGCCGAAACACAGAAACCCAACAACAAUUCCAGAUUCAUCAAUAGAGCAAAACAACACAACCGAUUCCAGCUACCAAAAUCCACUCUCAGCAGAAAUAAUUCCACCACUGGUAUCACAACAACCAUAUAAGCUAAGACCACCAGAAUCAGCAUUGCCAUAGUUGCAACAUAGCAAGCCAUUAUUACAACUGGAACACAUGACAACUAAAAAGAGUACUAAUCACCAAAAUCUCAACAUCAAAGGGAAAAGUUGGAUCCAAGAGAACCAAUCCCAAAUGCAAAAAAACUCGAGAAACCGUACACCACCAUUUAUUGCAGUAGCCAAGACCAAUUAAGUAGCCUCCAAACUGAUUCUGCCACACCUUCAACAGCUGGGUCUUGCGCCUUUUUCACUACCAAUAUCAGCUGUUCACUAUCAAUAAGCCACAAAAACAGGCAAAAAUCAGAAACAAGAAAAACAUAAAAAAAAAAAAUUUUUGUUUUGGGUUUUGGUUUAACCCACUUCCAAGAGGUUUUAGGUCACCAAAUAUAGUGAGGAAUAGCCAAUAGCAAGGAGAACAAUAUACCUUGGAGCGAUUGCCCUAAGAGCGGCAGAAGAGAAGAUUUAAGAGUUUGAAGUCGUAGCAUUCAAGACCUGAUCUACGGAAUUCAAGACGUUUUCUUGGGAAAUCAAUGGCAACACGUGAGGGAAGAGGCCAAGGUGAGCUUUAGGGUGAGAUUUGAAACGAUUUGGUGGACGACGGUGAUAACAUACGACAAAACACGGUGACCAGCGGUGGCGACCAUCGCUAGUUUUUGAGUUUUUGUCACUCGUAAAGAGAGAAAAGAGAAAGCAUCCUUUAGACAAA